CAAAAACAUAUUAAGAAAAUGGAAAGAUAAACCACAGACUGGGACAACUAGUGGAGCUGCGGUCCAGAAGGCAGCGCGUGCCCCGAGCUCUCUGCCUUCCCCCGCCCGUCAGAGCCCAGCCCGUGGGCCCUGCAGCAGCGCCAAGAGCAGCCCCAGUAGCAGCGCCAUGGCCGGGUGGAACGCCUACAGCGACAACCUCAAGGCGAAUGGGAACUGUCAGGAUGCGGCCAUCGUGGGCUACAAAGGACUCGGACUCGCCCUCUGCCUGGGCUGCCGUCCUGGGAAAACCUUCGUCAAUAAGACCGGUCAAGUUUUUUUGCGAAUGGGCUGACACUUGGGGGCCAGAAAUGUUCUGUGAUCCAGGACUUCCUGCUGCAGGAUGGGGAAUUUACUAUGGAUCUUCGUACCAAGAGCACCGGGGGAGCUCCCACCUUCAACAUCAGUGUCACCAUGACUGCCAAGAUGCUAGUCCGGUUGAUGGGCAAUGAAGGUGUCCACGGUGGUUUGAUCAACAAGAAAUGUUAUGAAAUGGCCUCCCACCUGCGGCGUUCCCAGUACUGACUUCAUCUGUUCCUCUCCCCCAUCACUCCCCACAGCUUUUGCACCCCUCUCCUUCCCAUGCACACAUAUACCAUUUUUAUUUGGGGGGCCAUUACCCCAUACCCCUUAUUGCUGCCAAAACCACAUGGGCUGGGGGCCGUGACUGGAUGGACAGACACCUCCCUCUACCCAUACCCCUCCUGUGUGUGGUUGGAAAACUUUUUUGUUUUGGUUUUUUUUUUCUGAAUAUAAAAGAUUCUACUAAAAAAAAU